CCUACGGGUGGCAGCAGUGAGGAAUAUUGGUCAAUGGCCGAGAGUCUGAACCAGCCAAGUCGCGUGAAGGAUGACUGCCCUAUGGGUUGUAAACUUCUUUUAUCAAGGAAUAAAACGAGGCACGUGUGCCUUUUUGCAUGUACUUUAUGAAUAAGCAUCGGCUAACUCCGUGCCAGCAGCCGCGGUAAUACGGAGGAUCCGAGCGUUAUCCGGAUUUAUUGGGUUUAAAGGGAGCGUAGAUGGGUUGUUAAGUCAGUUGUGAAAGUUUGCGGCUCAACCGUAAAAUUGCAAUUGAUACUGGCAGUCGUGAGUACAGUAGAGGUAAGCGGAAUUCGUGGUGUAGCGGUGAAAUGCUUAGA
rnacentral:rRNA from 1 species